UACAAUGGCGUAAACAAAGGGAGGCGAAGGAGCAAUCCGGAGCGAACCCCAAAAAUAACGUCUCAGUUCGGACUGUGGUCUGCAACCCGACCACACGAAGCUGGAAUCGCUAGUAAUCGCGAAUCAGAAUGUCGCGGUGAAUACGUUCCCGGGUCUUGUACACACCGCCCGUCACACCAUGGGAGUCAGCAACGCCCGAAGUCAGUGACCUAACCGAAAGGAAGGAGCUGCCGAAGGCGGGGCCGGUAACUGGGGUGAAGUCGUAACAAGGUAUC
rnacentral:rRNA from 1 species